GACGAACGCUGGCGGCGUGCCUAAUACAUGCAAGUCGAGCGGACCAAAGGGAGCUUGCUCCUGGAGGUCAGCGGCGAACGGGUGAGUAACACGUGGGCAACCUGCCUGUAAGACUGGGAUAACAUCGAGAAAUCGGUGCUAAUACCGGAUAAUAAAAAGAACUGCAUGGUUCUUUUUUGAAAGAUGGUUUCGGCUAUCACUUACAGAUGGGCCCGCGGCGCAUUAGCUAGUUGGUGAGGUAACGGCUCACCAAGGCAACGAUGCGUAGCCGACCUGAGAGGGUGAUCGGCCACACUGGGACUGAGACACGGCCCAGACUCCUACGGGAGGCAGCAGUAGGGAAUCUUACCGCAAUGGACGAAAGUCUGACGGAGCAACGCCGCGUGAGUGAUGAAGGUUUCGGAUCGUAAAACUCUGUUGUUAGGGAAGAACAAGUGCCGUUCGAAAGGGCGGCACCUUGACGGUACCUAACGAGAAAGCCACGGCUAACUACGUAGCCAGCAGCCGCGGUAAAG
rnacentral:rRNA from 1 species